rnacentral:ribozyme from 1 species
UUCAUUUUGAAGUUCUGUGAAAGGGUUGGAUCCGACGCCUCUAGAAGGCUACUAUAGGCUCUCCUUCUCAACUCCUACUCAAUACGUCCACGACGUGCAGAACGGUAACUUGUCGCUCAGAUCCAAGCUUGGGUACACGGGGAAACCCA